rnacentral:rRNA from 1 species
GACGAACGCUGGCGGCGUGCUUAACACAUGCAAGUCGAACGGAAAGGCCCUGCUUUUGUGGGGUGCUCGAUUGGCGAACGGGUGAGUAACACGUGAGUAACCUGCCCUUGACUUUGGGAUAACUUCAGGAAACUGGGGCUAAUACCGGAUAGGAGCUCCUGCUGCAUGGUGGGGGUUGGAAAGUUUCGGCGGUUGGGGAUGGACUCGCGGCUUAUCAGCUUGUUGGGGGGGUAGUGGCUUACCAAGGCUUUGACGGGUAGCCUGCCUGAGAGGGUGACCGGCCACAUUGGGACUGAGAUACGGCGCAGACUCCAACGGGAGGCAGCAGUGGGGAAUAUUGCACAAUGGGCGGGAGCCUGAUGCAGCAACGCCGCGUGCGGGAUGACGGCCUUCGGGUUGUAAACCGAUUUCGCCUGUAACGAAGCGUGAGUGACGGUAAUGGGUAAAGAAGCACCGGCUAACUACGUG